rnacentral:rRNA from 1 species
GCGAACGCUGGCGGCAGGCCUAACACCUGCCAGUCGAACGAACUCUUCGGAGUUAGUGGCGGACGGGUGAGUCACACGUGGGAACGUGCCUUUUGGUUCGGAAUAACUCAGGGAAACUUGUGCUAAUACCGAAUGUGCCCUUCGGGGGAAAGAUUUAUCGCCAUUAGAGCGGCCCGCGUCUGAUUAGCUAGUUGGUGAGGUAACGGCUCACCAAGGCGACGAUCAGUAGCUGGUCUGAGAGGAUGACCAGCCACACUGGGACUGAGACACGGCCCAGACUCCUACGGGAGGCAGCAGUGGGGAAUCUUGCGCAAUGGGCGAAAGCCUGACGCAGCCAUGCCGCGUGAAUGAUGAAGGUCUUAGGAUUGUAAAAUUCCUUCACCGGGGACGAUAAUGACGGUACCCGGAGAAGAAGCCCCGGCUAACUUCGUG